UACGUAGGGUGCGAGCGUUGCCCGGAUUUAUUGGGCGUAAAGGGCGCGUAGGCGGCUCUGCACGUCCGUUGUGAAAUCGCCCGGCUCAACUGGGCGGGGUCAGCGGAUACGGCAGAGCUCGAGCAAGCUAGGGGGCAAUGGAAUUCCCGGUGUAGUGGUGGAAUGCGUAGAUAUCGGGAGGAACACCAGUGGCGAAGGCGGGUCUCUGGACAGUUCCUGACGCUGAGGCACGAAGGCCAGGGGAGCAAACGGG
rnacentral:rRNA from 1 species